CAUUUGUUGACUGAAGCAAAUUAAAAUGGUCUCUACACACAAAUGCUUGUUUUUCACAUUUCUUUGUCUUGCUCUUCUUUUUAAUCAAGGUCUUGCGACAAGAGAGAUAUUUUCUACAAAAAACAAGACUAUGUUUGCGAUGAAGGAUGGCGAUUCAGCCGAUCCAUGUGGAGAGAUAACGAGCUGCGACCAAAAAUGUUUCGACCAAGAUUUCCCUAAAGGAGGAUUGUGCUUAGCAUCUACUGGUGAUGCAUCUACAUUUCUCUGCCUUUGUAAAAUUUAAAUUUGUUUGCAACUUUCAACUUUUCUAAUUAUAAUAAAAUAAAAGUUAUAAGAAACUUA